rnacentral:rRNA from 1 species
AUGGCGACCGCCGCCCAGGUCGCCGCCACAUUUCUCUCCUUCCUCUCAUGCCCCCGUCACCACACCGCUCCCUCCCCUUCCGUCUCCUUCCUGGCGACCCCUGUAUUGCCCGCCUCGCUCCGGGCCGCUGCCGCGGGGGGCCAAACCCUCACCUUCCGCUGUCGGGGCCGUCGCGUCGCCGUCGUCGCUCAGCUCCCUACUAUGAUUCCGGAGCUAGCUAGCGGGGAGAAGAAAAUCAGGUGGUCAUCGAGGGCGGUGCGAUCAUUUGCAAUGGCGGAAUUGGAGGCACGGAAGAUGAGGUACCCAACCACAGGCACCGAGGGGCUGCUUAUGGGCAUACUCGUUGAAGGAACUAGUGAUGCGGCAAAACUUAUGCGUGCUAAUGGAAUCACAUUGCUCACUGUGCGUGACGCGGCAGCAACAAUACUUGGGAAGUCAGAAAUGUUUUACUUCAGUCCUAUGCAUCCACCAUUGACAGAAUCUGCACAGCGUGCCCUUGAUUGGGCUGUAAACGAGAAACUAAAAUCAGGUGAGGACGGAGAGGUAACGGCCAAUCAUUUGUUCCUGGCGAUAUGGUCAGAUAAAGAGUCAGCUGGUCAUAAGGUUCUGGCUUCCCUUGGUUUUGAUGAUCAGAAAGCCAGUUUGCUGGCCAAAACGGCAGGCGAAGAGAAAGCAAUGAGUCCUAGAUAG